UGGAACAUGCGAUGGUACGACAUUCACUAAGGACAAGGGGCAGCUCACAGAGGUCACCUGCGACAAAGCCCCCCUUACCAAACACGAAAAAAACCUGCCAGGUAGAGACCUGCACACUGUCGAUGCGUGAGGCCAGAAACCGGAGAAACAGGAAACAACAAAUAAAAAUAAAAAAUAAAAGUGGGAACCAGCAAUGAUAAUGUAUAGACAACAAUUGAAGAUAUCAAUCACUCAGUCUUAAUAACCGACUCAGAACACUUAGCGACCGUUACAUUUGACAUUUGAUCAAAACGGCCAUGGGAAAAGUCAAUCAUCACUGAGAGACUGCAGGGGAAAUACUGAUGUUGUUGAGGUUUGUUAAAACUGGGCUGUUUCAGACGUCUGUGCUGUCGGAGUGAGAGGACAGUGGGUUGAAAACCUCUCAGCUUCCAGUUCACAGGAAGACUGACACAGGUAGGAGAUGUGUGCUCUGAUUUAGAUCUAGCCUGAAAUCGCCAGACCAAAUCGCAAAUGAAUGAGCUCGCAGAUUUGGCUGGUUCGCAGGCUAAUUUAAAUCAGUUCGAAAUACAUUUUACAGGGUAAUCGUGAUGUCUGUGUUUUACAACUUAUUGGUGUUAUAAAUGAAUCUUCAAAUUGCUAUUUUAUAAAAGUCACAACAAAUGUUUACCUUCUGCACGUUGAAUGUUGAACACAGACACUUUUUUUUAUUUUUGCUCUUUGUUAAUCGUGGAUAUCCUAUGUAAUGCAUUGACAACAUUUGUCAUGUUUUUUUUUUAUUGUUAUUAACUUUUUAUUAACAUGCAUUGUGGCAGCUCUGAUGGUUAUGUUAGACUAAACAUCUUAUGUUUUCGGAUGAAAUAACACUAUAUCCUGAUACUGACCAGUAUUUUAAAUAAUUUAAAGGGCAUUUCAGCUUAAACUAAUCCUAUCUAACCUUUAUAUAAUUAUCAUGCACUAAUAUGUAUUGUUUUUAAACCAUACAUGAGAGGUAUUUAUCAUGAGAGGCUUUGAACUUGAAGCCAUAUUUGACUUUGUAACCAGCUUUACUGUUUACUUUUUUGUGAAAGAACUUUAUGGUUGGCAACUAACACACUGGCCACAGAGGGGAUCUGUAUGAGAACCUUCCUUCAAGUACCUGUAAUAAUAGGCGAGAUGUAAAACAUAUAUACACCUAACAAACUGACUGAUGCUGUAAGUUAUUUUGUAUUUACUGAAUAGUCAUAUUAAUAUUUACAGUAAUCAAAUAUCUUCAAGUGAAAAUGUUUCAAGUCACACAUUGCAGCUUUUUUGUUUAGAAUAUACUUUGACAAAAGUAGGUCAUGUUUGCAAAUGACUUGACCUUUUUAAUGAAGUGUUUUGAUAUUGUUUAUUGAACACUGUACAUGGCUGUAAAUACACUUGUUGUUACAUCUUUGUGUUUGAUAAAAACAUGGACUGUA